rnacentral:rRNA from 1 species
AUUGAAUGCUGGCGGCAGGCCUAACACAUGCAAGUCGAACGGUAGCACAGAGAGCUUGCUCUCGGGUGACGAGUGGCGGACGGGUGAGUAACGUCUGGGAAACUGCCCGAUGGAGGGGGAUAACUACCGGAAACGGUAGCUAAUACCGCAUAACGUCGCAAGACCAAAGUGGGGGACCUUCGGGCCUCACACCAUCGGAUGUGCCCAGAUGGGAUUAGCUAGUAGGUGGGGUAAUGGCUCACCUAGGCGACGAUCCCUAGCUGGUCUGAGAGGAUGACCAGCCACACUGGAACUGAGACACGGUCCAGACUCCUACGGGAGGCAGCAGUGGGGAAUAUUGCACAAUGGGCGCAAGCCUGAUGCAGCCAUGCCGCGUGUAUGAAGAAGGCCUUCGGGUUGUAAAGUACUUUCAGCGGGGAGGAAGGCGGUGAAGUUAAUAGCUUCACCGAUUGACGUUACCCGCAGAAGAAGCACCGGCUAACUCCGUGCCAGCAGCCGCAGUAA